rnacentral:rRNA from 1 species
UACAGAGGCCCCAAGCGUUACUGAGAAUCACUGGGUUUAAAGGGUGCGUAGGUGGCGCGUUAAGUCCGUUGUGAAAUCCCUUGGCUCAACCAAGGAACUGCUUCGGAUACUGGCGUGCUUGAGGCUAGUAGGGGUCACUGGAACUGACGGUGGAGCGGUGAAAUGCGUAGAUAUCGUCAGGAACGCCGAUGGUGAAGACAGGUGACUGGGCUAGUUCUGGCACUGAGGCACGAAAGCGUGGGGAGCGAACGGG